AUGUACCACUCGUACACUCCGGUUCCUGUGCGCCGUCCGCACCCACCUGACAACUGCUCGCUACGUUUUGUUAGCU
rnacentral:sRNA from 1 species